UUGAUCAAACUAGUGUAUAUAUACGGAGACAAUAACAAUACCUACCUAUCUGAAGUUAGUAACGUUUCGUUUUCUAUACAGGAUAUGUUACGUGCACUACAGAAAACGCUGCUAACUUCAGAUGGAUAGGUAUUAUUGUUCCCGUGUGUACGUACAAGGCGACAUCUCGCCGAGCUUGAUGCUGUAAUCACGCGAAAAUGAUCUUUCUAUGCUUAUAUCGAAAAGUAGGCGAUGAUUGGUUCAAGACGCGCGUUCUGGUGGAUUCGAUUCACUACCUUGCGGGCUUGAAAGGCUUGCGGCCAACUUCAGUCCGACGUUGCUGAUGCAUUUCCAGUGGUUGUUCUCUUGCCCGAGACGGCUCAGACUUUCGUGCGAUCGAUCGAAUCGUCGCGCCCAUGGGCGUCCUCGGAUAAUUCUCGGGGAUACGAAAAUGAAAGCAAAAUAAAGGAUAUUCGUGAUAACGAUCGGCGUAUCGCAGCUGAAUGUCGGACAUAAUCCGUCUGGAGGAUUAGAGAGCUCCUGUUUGCGGCUAGCUCAUUCGUUCUCGGAGCAUAUUGUCGGAGGCUGGUGCUGCACAGGCACGUAUAGCGUGAACUACGCACGAGCGACGGUGACGGCGGUAGCGGCUUGAUACAGAUAUAUCACAAGAGCGUUGUACGUCGUGCGUACUGCGAGGCGGCUUGGUUACUUGAAAGUCGCGAUCACCUUAAGAGUUAAAUUUGAAAGAAACGUGCGCUCUCGAGAGCGAUCAGGCCUCGCGUCCUCCCUCUUUUUGUCGGCAGGGCAGUAUGCGAAUCGGGCUCCUUGGACGCCCCGCGAUUAUUUUCCACCCAGGAUAGUGAUCGUGUAACUUUUAUUCUAAAUCUGAAAAAUUUCUCUGCUAACUUCAAUAAUAAAAAUUUUCACUUUUCACGUUUUUACCUUAGGAAACCAGUUACCUGAUUACUACUCGGGAAUAUGAAUAUAAAAAAAUUAUUUUUUAUAAUUUAUAUGGAGAAAAUAUAGUGUACUAAAAAUGAGAUAAAAAAUAUAUUUUUUAAAUAUUCUAUUGCAAACAUGUGAAGUAUUUAUUAUUAUAAAAAUGGAUAAUCACAUUGCACGUAUAUCUACAAUGUGUAUUGUAAAAAGUUAUACAUAUAUUUUACUGUGUUUUAUAUAUAUUAAAACUUGUGAUAUAACCAGUCAUUUUUUGUUACAUCUAAAAAUUAUUAUAUUAAUUGUAAUUUACGUUAUAAAUAUAGCAUAAACAUUGAUACAAUUUGUGUAAAAGCAACUCGAGUUAUAAAAUUUUUUUCUUUAAUGGAACAUGAUUGUCUUUCAUUAUUUGUACAUCAAAAUAUUUAAAUAAUUACAAUGUGUUGUUUUGUAAAAUAUGAUAUUAUUGAAUAAAAACUUCCAUCAAAAUCUCCAUAUAUUGCAGAAUAACGAAAUUUUAAUUUUAAUUUUAAUUUUUAUUAAAAUAUUUUAGAAUUCUGUAAUAUUUAUAAUUAUAGUAUUUGACCCAUACGGCAUAGAACCAUUCCAGCAAUGUUAUAAUAACUUCACAAUGUUUCUAUAAUAUUGCUGAAAUAUUCCACGUUGUAUAGAUUGACAAUAUGUCUGAUAAAAUAAAAAAUUGUCACAACUAUUUAAAAUUAUUAUUUUUGAUUUAUACACAUUCGUACAGAUUAUUUACAGAAUAAACAGCGUAUCUCUAUCAUUCCGUGUGGCCAAUAACACAAUUUAAAUUCAGCAUAAAUACAGAAUUUUAUUAUGCGUGACGCAGAAGGCACAAGGACAUUCAAUGAUUUAGAUACUGCCCUGCGACGCGGUGCUCAUGCUUUCUACGUUGUCGCGAACUGCGCAGAUACGUCAUCGAGCGAGAGCGUCGUUCAGUGGAGCGAGGAGCGAACGUGGGACACAUGCAACUUAUAUUUUAGCCUGAAAGUUUUCGCGCUCUUUCUAAACGGAUCCUCGUUUUCGAUAAUGACACGUGAACUUGACGUGACGACGAGAAUGAUUUGUCGAUGCAAACAGAAUCGACUUCGUGCGUGAUUAGAAAGAUAAUAACAGAGAGAAAGAGAGGCAACGAGAAAGACAGAGAAAGAGAUAUUCGUCGUGGACGCGGCUUAAAGACUGCCAGGUACGGCCAGGAGCGGUUGAGACGAUCGAGGAUCCUUACGCUUAUUGCUAAUUGACAAUAAAUUGACAAUGAAAAAAUCA
rnacentral:lncRNA from 13 species